rnacentral:rRNA from 1 species
AUUGAACGCUGGCGGCAUGCCUUACACAUGCAAGUCGAACGGCAGCACGGGAGCUUGCUCCUGGUGGCGAGUGGCGAACGGGUGAGUAAUGCAUCGGAACGUGCCCUGAAGUGGGGGAUAACGUAGCGAAAGUUACGCUAAUACCGCAUAUUCUGUGAGCAGGAAAGCAGGGGAUCUUCGGACCUUGCGCUUUUGGAGCGGCCGGUGUCGGAUUAGCUAGUUGGUGGGGUAAAGGCCCACCAAGGCGACGAUCCGUAGCGGGUCUGAGAGGAUGAUCCGCCACACUGGAACUGAGACACGGUCCAGACUCCUACGGGAGGCAGCAGUGGGGAAUUUUGGACAAUGGGCGCAAGCCUGAUCCAGCCAUGCCGCGUGAGUGAAGAAGGCC